GCCCGGGUAGCUCAGUUGGUUAGAGCGCCUGUCUUGUAAACAGGGGGUCAAGGGUUCGAAUCCCUUCUCGGGCU
rnacentral:tRNA from 1 species